rnacentral:rRNA from 1 species
CGGGGGGAUCAUUACCGAGUUUACACUCCCAAACCCAAUGUGAACGUUACCAAACUGUUGCCUCGGCGGGGUCACGCCCCGGGUGCGUCGCAGCCCCGGAACCAGGCGCCCGCCGGAGGAACCAACCAAACUCUUUCUGUAGUCCCCUCGCGGACGUAUUUCUUACAGCUCUGAGCAAAAAUUCAAAAUGAAUCAAAACUUUCAACAACGGAUCUCUUGGUUCUGGCAUCGAUGAAGAACGCAGCGAAAUGCGAUAAGUAAUGUGAAUUGCAGAAUUCAGUGAAUCAUCGAAUCUUUGAACGCACAUUGCGCCCGCCAGUAUUCUGGCGGGCAUGCCUGUCCGAGCGUCAUUUCAACCCUCGAACCCCUCCGGGGGAUCGGCGUUGGGGAUCGGGACCCCUCACACGGGUGCCGGCCCCGAAAUACAGUGGCGGUCUCGCCGCAGCCUCUCCUGCGCAGUAGUUUGCACAACUCGCACCGGGAGCGCGGCGCGUCCACGUCCGUAAAACACCCAACUUUCUGAAAUGUUGACCUCGGAUCAGGUAGGAAUACCCGCUGAACUUAAGCAUAUC